CCCGAUAACGUAUCCAAUUUUUGAAUCAAUAAUAAUCACCGUCGUUCUCUCUUUUUGAAAUUUACCCAAUCCGGUUUCGUUUUUUAAAACGCAAUAGGUACCUAGCUGUCGUUAUUAUUAAAUUUGGUCUAGCGGUGUAUCGUUCCAUUUUUUCUGUAACUCGUUCAAGUCAUUGGAGGAAGUGUUUUUCAGCCAAAAUAGUUUUAUUUCACCUGAUCAAUUAUGUCUGAAGGCGACGCUGGACCGGAUAGUGAAACUAGACCGAAAGGUGUUGAAGCGCUUAAACAACAUGUUAUCACGC